CCUACGGGUGGCAGCAGUGAGGAAUAUUGGUCAAUGGGCGAGAGCCUGAACCAGCCAAGUCGCGUGAGGGAGUACUGCCCUAUGGGUUGUAAACCUCUUUUGUCGGGGAGCAAAAGCCGGACGUGUCCGGCUGUGAGAGUACCCGAAGAAAAAGCAUCGGCUAACUCCGUGCCAGCAGCCGCGGUAAUACGGAGGAUGCGAGCGUUAUCCGGAUUUAUUGGGUUUAAAGGGUGCGCAGGCGGAUCUUUAAGUCAGCGGUAAAAUCGUGGGGCUCAACCCCAUCCAGCCGUUGAAACUUGGGAUCUAGAGUGUGCGAGAGGUAUGCGGAAUGCGUGGUGUAGCGGUGAAAUGCAUAGAUAUCACGCAGAACCCCGAUUGCGAAGGCAGCAUACCGGUGCACAACUGACGCUCAGGCACGAAAGCGUGGGUAUCGAACAGGAUUAGAUACCCCUGUAGUC
rnacentral:rRNA from 1 species